rnacentral:rRNA from 1 species
GAUGAACGCUGGCGGCGUGCUUAACACAUGCAAGUCGAACGGUGAAGGCGGAGCUUGCUCUGCUGGAUCAGUGGCGAACGGGUGAGUAACACGUGAGCAAUCUGCCCCUGACUCUGGGAUAAGCGCUGGAAACGGCGUCUAAUACUGGAUACGAGCUGCGAAGGCAUCUUCAGCAGCUGGAAAGAACUUCGGUCAGGGAUGAGCUCGCGGCCUAUCAGCUUGUUGGUGAGGUAACGGCUCACCAAGGCGUCGACGGGUAGCCGGCCUGAGAGGGUGACCGGCCACACUGGGACUGAGACACGGCCCAGACUCCUACGGGAGGCAGCAGUGGGGAAUAUUGCACAAUGGGCGAAAGCCUGAUGCAGCAACGCCGCGUGAGGGACGACGGCCUUCGGGUUGUAAACCUCUUUUAGCAGGGAAGAAGCGAAAGUGACGGUACCUGCAGAAAGAGCGCCGGCUAACUACGUG